rnacentral:rRNA from 1 species
CCUACGGGUGGCUGCAGUGGGGAAUUUUGGACAAUGGGCGAAAGCCUGAUCCAGCCAUGCCGCGUGAGUGAAGAAGGCCUUCGGGUUGUAAAGCUCUUUUGUCCGGGAGCAAAUCCUGUUCACUAAUACUGAGCGGGGCUGAGAGUACCGGAAGAAUAAGCACCGGCUAACUACGUGCCAGCAGCCGCGGUAAUACGUAGGGUGCGAGCGUUAAUCGGAAUUACUGGGCGUAAAGGGUGCGCAGGUGGUUACGUAAGUCUGAUGUGAAAGCCCCG